rnacentral:rRNA from 1 species
UGUAAACUCCUUCUAUAUGGAAAGAACAGUCCUCAUUGAUGAGUGACCUGACGGUACCAUAGGAAUAAGCACCGGCUAACUCCGUGCCAGCAGCCGCGGUAAUACGGAGGGUGCAAGAGUUAUCCGGAUUCACUGGGUUUAAAGGGUGCGUAGGCGGAUAUGUAAGUCAGUGGUGAAAUCAACGGGCUCAACCUGUUAACUGUCAUUUAUACUGUGUUUCUUUAAUAUGAGAGAGUUAGGCGGAAUGUUGCAUGUAGCUGUGAAAUUCUUAGAUACGCUGACGACCACCGAUUGCACAGGCAGCUUACUAGUCCGUAAUUGACGCUGCGGCACGAAUGCGUGGGUAG